AUGUGGAGGGAGCGGGGCGUCUUACCCGCAUUAAUCGAUACCAUGGUGUCACAUAUACACGAAGGUUAUUCUUCGUUUCAUCCCAAAUUGGUAUACAAAGCCUAUAAAUAUGGUGGGAAAGGUAUGACUAUGCAGGAACAUUUCACUCUUGAAAGGCAAGAUGAGCUUGGGUAUUGUUGUGCCAGGCGCCCACUCAUCAAUGCUGGUGAUUGGCCUUGUAUGGCUGCACCAUCCCUUUCAGCAGAUGUACUACUUUUGAAAGCAUUAGCGAAUAUCUUAAUGCGGGAGUUUAUAUGGAGAAGAAACAAUCUUCCGCCUAGGUUAACUCAUUAUAAUGAAAUGGUGAGUUUCCACGAGGAGUUCUGGGAUGGUAAAAGGGGUGUAGAUAAAAUAGUCUGUGUGGAUUUGAGUCAUAGUAUCCACUAUGUUUCUACUCCACGUCUAUGGAAUACAUUAAAAUUUCUACACAAUCUGGGGGUGAUUUCGCAUAUCUUAAAGGAAUUUAUAUCUCUCCCGAUAUAUAAUGCCGACACUAACCUCCAAAUUCCUCAUUCGAAUUGUAUACCAUUGAUAGGUGAAUUGAGUGACGUGCUCCUACAUCUCUUUUUUCAACAUCAAUUCGAUAGGAAGGUCCUGAGACGAUAUGAAGGUGUUCUUUAUACAAGAUGGGACACCAAUGUCCUUCUAGCUUCAACAUGCCAUGAUUCAUAUCGCCUUGACUGUCGUCAAAUUCUGGACAUCUUAAGGUACGUGAAUCUAACUGGAUUUAUUUCAGUGAUAGAGCGUGGUGGCGGGGGUGAACCCUGA
rnacentral:rRNA from 1 species